CUAUUCUUAUUCCAUAUUUAUAGAUUCAAGAGGACUGAGGAUUACUUUGGAGAUUGAUUCAUGUAUCCCAGCACCUCCAUCAAUAGGUUGCAAUUGCCACACACACACAGCAGGGUGCUGGUAGAGCCACAUGGAGGAGAACACUUACCAUUGGUCUUCAAUGACCGCCUCAGUGCAUUCCACGUGGGCAGGAAGAUGGUGAUCCUGUUGUGGAAUAGCUGCCUCACCCCCUCUGUUGAACAAAACACCUGGCAGCAGUCGUACCUGAACUGUGACUGCUAA
rnacentral:lncRNA from 1 species